CAAGUCCAGGCUAGGUUCUGAAACAGAAGGGACGCCAGAGGGGCUGAGUUCUCUCUCCAUUCUGAAGCACGGCGGGGAGGCAGGAAACCGAAGGCAGAGGGGAGCUUACUUUUCUGGGAAUGCAUUUGUCUGUUUUAGAUGAGAAACUGAGACCACAUUGCUCAAGGGACUUGCCCAAGGCCACACAGGUAGUAACUGAAAGUUGCUAGCAUUGUUAGUGAUUUUUUUUUGUUUGUUUUUUAAUCAGGGCAUUCGAAUCAACAGAUCUUUCUUUUAGAACGAAAAUACCCCUGAGAGGUUAAGCACAUGUUAGUAGGAGUUAGUCUGAUAAGACUGCUUUUCUUCUUCUAAAGCUUCACUGACAUCUAAAGUACCAAGCAAGCAGGAACCUAGAUAAGGAAGAUGUUGGGAAGAUACAGGUAAUUUUUAAAAACUGUUUAUUAUCGAGAGAGGGCAAGUGGGGGAGGGGCAGAGGAUCUGAAGAGGUGGCUCUGUGCUGACAGGCUGACAGCAGCGAGCCCGAUGUGGGGUUCGAACUCACGAACCACGAGAUCAUGACCUGAGCCAAAGUCAGAUGCUCAACCGACUAAGCCACCCAGGUGCCCCGGGACAGGUAAUUUUUAAGUGAGGGGCGCUGUGGUCCUGGGAGGAGUAACACAGUGGGGCUUUACGCAGCAGAGGCUCCCGUGCUGGCACAGAAAGGAGAGAACUGCUAACCUCCUAAAGCAGUCUGUGAUCCAUCCUGGUGCCUGCAUGAAAGAGAAGCAAGGGAAUCUUGCUCUAUGGGGGCUUCUUCAGGGGACCACCUGUGAAGGUUGGCAGGGGCAGGGGUUCAACCCUCUGUACCUUUUGAGUCUCAGAGUCUAAAGGAUCCCUAUUUCUCCUUACCUCAUCCCAGUUUCCUUCUUUUGGAACUUUGGAAUUUGCUCAAGUCCUAAGCCCGCUAUCUUCCUGGACCUGCUGUUUUCCCAGGAAGAACUUGCAGCCCCUUCUUCUGGUUGGGACCAAGCCCCUCCCUCCCUGACCCUCCAGAAGCUGUGACAUUUGGUAGGGGUGGGAGUGGACGGGUUGGAGAUCACAAUCAAUCCGUCACCUCAUUGUUUCAGCUCCAUAUUAUGCAAGACAAGAUGGAAAUCUCAUCUCCUGUGACAUAAUCCCAGUAAAUCCCCCUGAUACAGGUGGCUUACGCGUCUCCUUUAUGGAGACAUAAAGCACAGUAGUGGUGACACUGUGGUUUGGGACAGGGAGCCCAUGUUUGUUGACUUUAGUACUUCCUCUGGACAGAGGCUUUACAGAUGGCAUUACACAAAGAGCAUGAGUGUCCCCUUAUUUGGAGUUGGCAGUGUGACCUUGCUGGGCUUGAGUUCCUUUCUCUGCAAACAAAACAAAACAAAAUAAAACAAAACCAUACUGGCA